CCCUUAGAUGUCCUGGGCCGCACGCGCGCUACACUGAACGGAUCAGCGCGUUUUCCCUUCCCGAGAGGGACGGGUAACCUGCUGAACCCCGUUCGUGGUAGGGAUCGGGGCUUGCAAUUAUUCCCCGUGAACCAGGAAUGCCCAGUAAGUGCAAGUCAUAAGCUUGCGUUGAUUACGUCCCUGCCCUUUGUACACACCGCCCGUCGCUACUACCGAUUGAACGUUUUAGUGAGGUACUCGGACUGAGCCUCAGAAGAUUCACGUCUUUUGUGCUGCUCGGGAAGAUUCCCAAACUUGCGCGUUUAGAGGAAGUAAAAGUCGUAACA
rnacentral:rRNA from 1 species